GACGAACGCUGGCGGCGUGCUUAACACAUGCAAGUCGAACGGAAAGGCCCUGCUUUUGUGGGGUGCUCGAGUGGCGAACGGGUGAGUAACACGUGAGUAACCUGCCCUUGACUUUGGGAUAACUUCAGGAAACUGGGGCUAAUACCGGAUAGGAGCUCCUGCUGCAUGGUGGGGGUUGGAAAGUUUCGGCGGUUGGGGAUGGACUCGCGGCUUAUCAGCUUGUUGGUGGGGUAGUGGCUUACCAAGGCUUUGACGGGUAGCCGGCCUGAGAGGGUGACCGGCCACAUUGGGACUGAGAUACGGCCCAGACGCCUACGGGAGGCAGCAGUGGGGAAUAUUGCACAAUGGGCGGAAGCCUGAUGCAGCAACGCCGCGUGCGGGAUGACGGCCUUCGGGUUGUAAACCGCUUUCGCCUGUGACGAAGCGUGAGUGACGAUAAUGGGUAAAGAAGCACCGGCUAACUACGUG
rnacentral:rRNA from 1 species